AUGGCGUUCACCCGGAAGAGGCAGCGCGAGCAGCAGCUGCAGCUCUACUCCAGGGAGAGAUUUUCCUUGCUCCUGCUUAACUUGGAGGAGUACUACUUUGAACAGCACACGGCUCAUCACAUUCAACACAAGGGCAGCCAGAAGGAAAGGAAAAUCAGAGGCUCCUUAAAAAUAUGUUCAAAAUCAGUUAUUUUUGAACCAGAUGCAAUAUCCCAACCCAUCAUUAAGAUUCCUUUGAGGGAUUGUAUAAAAAUAGGAAAACAUGGAGAAAAUGAAGCCAAUAGACACUUUGCAAAGACAGUAUCUGGGGCGAUUUCACUCAUUUUCAGCCAGGUGUAUUUCAUUAAGGAACACAACAUUGUUGCACCGUAUAAAAUAGAAAGGGGCAUGAUGGAGUAUGUCUUCGAGCUGGAUGUUUCAGGGAAAGUAGAAGAUGUUGUGGAGACACUGCUUCAGCUUCAUAGAGCAUCCUGUCUGGACAAACUGGGGGACCAAACUGCCAUGAUAACAGCUAUCUUGCAGUCCCGUUUGGCUAGGACGUCCUUUGACAAAAACAGAUUCCAAAGUGUUUCUGAAAAGCUGCACAUGGAAUGCAAAGCAGAAAUGGUGACACCUCUGGUGACGAACCCUGGCCACGCCUGCGUCACUGACACCACCCUGUAUUUCCAGCCUCUCAACGGGUACCCGAAACCCGUGGUCCAGAUAAUGCUCCAGGACAUCCGCCGCAUUUACAAGAGGAGACACGGCCUCAUGCCUCUGGUGCUCAGGGCCCUGGGUUUGCGCCUGCCAAACCGGCCCAGGGCUCCUUGCCGCCACCCUGUUACAGCCCAGCAAGGUCUCCAGGCAGAGCUUAGAAGCUCUUACAGAGCCAGCCCUCAGUGGAACUGUAGCAUAGUCACUGUGGACUUAGAUUACUUCUGCCCCCAGGCCUGGGGAGAGGGAGAAACGGAAAAGGGCUUGGAAGUGUUUUGCACAGAAGAUGACCUGUGUUCCGACAUCUACCUGAAGUUCUAUGAACGUCAGGACCGAGACGACCUCUAUUUUUACAUCGCUACAUAUCUAGAGCACCACGUGCCUGAGCGCACGGCCGAGGGCUACACGCUGCAGUGGCAGCGCGGCCUCCUGUCCAACUACCAGUACCUGCUGCACCUCAACUCGCUGGCCGACCGCAGCUGCAGCGACCUCUCACAGUACCCCGUGUUCCCCUGGGUCAUCAGCGACUACAGCAGCUCCAAGCUGGAUCUGUCAAAUCCAGAGACCUUCCGGGAUCUCAGUAAGCCAGUAGGGGCCCUCAACCAGGAGCGUCUGGAGAGGCUGCUGACCCGCUACCAGGAGAUGCCGGAGCCCAGGUUCAUGUACGGCAGCCACUACUCCUCCCCAGGCUACGUGCUCUUCUACCUGGUCCGGAUCGCACCGGAGUACAUGCUGUGCCUGCAGAAUGGAAGGUUCGACAACGCAGACAGAAUGUUCAACAGUAUUGCAGAAACUUGGAAAAACUGUUUGGAUGGUGCAACAGAUUUUAAAGAGCUGAUCCCGGAAUUCUACGGUGAUGACGUCAGCUUUUUAGUCAACAGUCUGAAGUUGGAUUUGGGGAAGAGACAAGGAGGGCAGCUGGUUAACGACGUAGAGCUCCCUCCUUGGGCACGGAGUCCCGAGGACUUUCUCCAGAAGAGCAGAGCCGCGCUGGAGAGUGAGCAUGUGUCCGAGCACCUGCACGAGUGGAUCGACCUGGUGUUUGGCUACAAGCAGCAGGGCCGGGAUGCCGUCGGAGCCCAUAAUGUGUUUCAUCCGCUGACCUAUGAAGGAGGUGUGGACUUGAACAGCAUCGAGGAUCCUGACGAGAAGGUCGCCAUGCUCACCCAGAUCUUAGAGUUUGGACAGACACCCAGACAGCUCUUCGUGACACCCCAUCCUCGAAGGAUCACCCCAAAGUUUAAAAGCUUGUCCCAGCCCUCCAGUUACAAUGCCUCCACGGCAGAUUCUCCAGUCUCUCCAGGCGAAGAGUCUUUUGAAGACCUGACAGAAGAGAGCAGAACCCUGGCUUGGAGUAACAUCGCCCGGCUAGAGCCCCAGGAGCAACACAGAAUCCACAAGGAGGCAGUCACUGGGAUAGCCGUGUCCCGCAGCGGGUCGUCCAUCUUCACAACCUCACAAGAUUCCACCUUGAAGAUGUUUUCCAAAGAAUCCAGGAUGCUACAGAGAAGCAUAUCAUUCUCAAAUAUGGCUUUAUCAUCCUGUUUACUUUUACCAGGAGACGCCACUGUCAUAAGCUCUUCCUGGGAUAAUAACAUCUAUUUUUAUUCCAUAGCAUUUGGAAGACGCCAGGACACAUUAAUGGGACAUGACGAUGCUGUUAGUAAGAUCUGUUGGCAUGACAACAGGCUGUAUUCUGCAUCGUGGGACUCUACUGUGAAGGUGUGGUCCGGGGUCCCCGCAGAGAUGCCGUGUGCCAGGAAACAGCACUUUGAGCUGCUGGCUGAGCUGGAGCACGAUGUCAGCGUGGAUACGAUCAGUUUGAACGCUGCCGGCACACUGCUGGCCUCAGGCACCAAGGAAGGCACAGUGACCAUCUGGGACCUCACCACGGCCACCCUGUUACACCAGAUUCCAUGUCAUGAGGGGACUGUAGGCGACAGUGCUUUCAGCCCAGACAGUCGCCACGUCCUGAGCACAGGAGCCGACAGCCAUCUGAACGUCAUUGACGUACAGACAGGAAUGCUCAUCUCAUCUCUGACUGCGGACGAGCCCCAGAGGUGCUUUCUCUGGGAUGGAAACUCCGUCGUAUCUGGCAGUCAGUCUGGGGAGCUGCUCGUCUGGGACCUCCUCGGGGGAAGGGUCAGCAAGAGGAUCCAGGGCCACGCGGGUGCCGUGACAUGUAUGUGGAUGAACGAACAGUGUAGCAACGUCAUCACAGGAGGGGAAGACAGACAAAUUAUGUUCUGGAAGUUGCAGUAUUAAGUGCCUUUUCCUUGAAUGUUUUUGAACUCUAU
rnacentral:lncRNA from 1 species